rnacentral:rRNA from 1 species
GACGAACGCUGGCGGCGUGCUUAACACAUGCAAGUCGAACGGAAAGGCCCUGCUUUUGUGGGGUGCUCGAGUGGCGAACGGGUGAGUAACACGUGAGUAACCUGCCCUUGACUUUGGGAUAACUUCAGGAAACUGGGGCUAAUACCGGAUAGGAGCUCCUGCUGCAUGGUGGGGGUUGGAAAGUUUCGGCGGUUGGGGAUGGACUCGCGGCUUAUCAGCUUGUUGGUGGGGUAGUGGCUUACCAAGGGUUCGACGGGUAGCCGGCCUGAGAGGGUGACCGGCGACAUUGGGACUGAGGGACGGACCAGACGCCUACGGGAGGCAGCGGUGGGAAAUAUUGCACAGUGGGCGGAAGCCUGAUGCAGCGACGCCGCGUGCGGGAUGACGGCCUUCGGGUUGUAAACCGCUUUCGCCUGUGACGAAGCGUGAGUGACGGUAAUGGGUAAAGAAGCACCGGCUAACUACGUG